rnacentral:rRNA from 2 species
CCACACGACUCUCGGCAACGGAUAUCUCGGCUCUCGCAUCGAUGAAGAACGUAGCGAAAUGCGAUACYUGGUGUGAAUUGCAGAAUCCCGCGAACCAUCGAGUCUUUGAACGCAAGUUGCGCCCGAGGCCACCCGGCCGAGGGCACGCCUGCUUGGGCGUCACGC